rnacentral:tRNA from 1 species
AAGGGCAUAGCUCAAUGGUAGAGCAGGUGUCUUCAACACACCCGGUGAUAGUUCGAUCCUAUCUGCCCUUG